rnacentral:rRNA from 1 species
GAUGAACGCUGGCGGCGUGCCUAAUACAUGCAAGUCGAGCGAACAGACGAGGAGCUUGCUCCUCUGACGUUAGCGGCGGACGGGUGAGUAACACGUGGAUAACCUACCUAUAAGACUGGGAUAACUUCGGGAAACCGGAGCUAAUACCGGAUAAUAUAUUGAACCGCAUGGUUCAAUAGUUAAAGACGGUUUUGCUGUCACUUAUAGAUGGAUCCGCGCCGCAUUAGCUAGUUGGUAAGGUAACGGCUUACCAAGGCAACGAUGCGUAGCCGACCUGAGAGGGUGAUCGGCCACACUGGAACUGAGACACGGUCCAGACUCCUACGGGAGGCAGCAGUAGGGAAUCUUCCGCAAUGGGCGAAAGCAUGACGGAGCAACGCCGCGUGAGUGAUGAAGGUCUUCGGAUCGUAAAACUCUGUUAUUAGGGAAGAACAAAUGUGUAAGUAACUAUGCACGUCUUGACGGUAACUAAUCAGAAAGCCACGGCUAACUACGUG